GACGAACGCUGGCGGCGUGCUUAACACAUGCAAGUCGAACGGAAAGGCCCUGCUUUUGUGGGGUGCUCGAGUGGCGAACGGGUGAGUAACACGUGAGUAACCUGCCCUUGACUUUGGGAUAACUUCAGGAAACUGGGGCUAAUACCGGAUAGGAGCUCCUGCUGCAUGGUGGGGGUUGGAAAGUUUCGGCGGUUGGGGAUGGACCCGCGGCUUAUCAGCUUGUUGGUGGGGUAGUGGCUUACCAAGGCUUUGACGGGUAGCCGGCCUGCGAGGGUGACCGGCCACAUUGGGACUGAGAUACGGCCCAGACUCCUACGGGAGGCAGCAGUGGGGAAUAUUGCACAAUGGGCGGAAGCCUGAUGCAGCAACGCCGCGUGCGGGAUGACGGCCUUCGGGUUGUAAACCGCUUUCGCCUGUGACGAAGCGUGAGUGACGGUAAUGGGUGAAGAAGCACCGGCUAACUACGUG
rnacentral:rRNA from 1 species